rnacentral:lncRNA from 1 species
CUCAUUUUCUCUUCCUGCGGUCAGGUGAGGAGAGUUCUUCGCCUCGCGCCAGGAUUCUGAGGCCUCCCCAGCCAUGUGGAACUAAUUUGCAGCCCAAGGGAGACUUCGUGACUGCAAUAUCCGGAGAGAGAGAGAGAGAUUCCUGUAGAAUACAAGACAAGACUAUCACAAUGAGCUGAAAUGUUGGGUCUGUGAAAGUAAUGAGAAGCACAGUGGAAAUAAGUUUCUGAAGGAUGGAAGAGGCUGGAGGCUGGCUAGUGGGAGAAGGUUCCCAGACACGUGAGAGACCCAGCAACAGAGUGCCACAUCAUUGUUAUUCCCCCAAGAUCCUGGAUUCCAGACAGCCCAGUGGAGCACCAUAGAAAGAACUUUCAGGAAGCAGAGAAUGGUUCAGGGAUUCUGAUUUUCCUGAACUUCCUCCUCCCUAUCCACCUCCAAUUAGGAAAAAAGAAGAAAAAAAAGAUUAAACACGUCCAGAAUGUUAAAAAUCCAGUAGGGAUUUUAAAUGUUCACUAUUACAGCACAUACAUUUAUACACAAGGAGGUCUGAAGGCUUUCUGGUUUCAAUUAAGAUUAUUAUCUCCUUUGAGUGAUGGUUUCUCCUUUUUUCCCCCAGAAUUCCCUUUGGCUGAUCUAUUUUAAAAGAGUAUGAGCUAGGGAUAACUAGGCUUAUUUGUAUUGAGUCUACUUUCCCCUCCAGGUCUCUUUGUCUUAAAUUCUGAAGUCCCUUUUCCUAUCCUGCUAAAGGUUAGCAGCUUGAAAUCAAGGACAUGAGUCAUUGUUACUUUUCAUGUGGAAGAUAAGCUCUGUGGCUUUUAUAGCAAAAAGUAUAUACAAUUCUAAAAUUAAAGUGCAAGUCAGAAAGGCCAUUGGGGCUGUGAAAAGUCCUUAUCUAAAUCAGAAGACCAAGGUCAAGUUUGUAUCAUGCCUAUUAGUACAUGGGUUUCAUUGGUUAAGUUACCAAACCUCUGAGCCUCAGUUUCCUUAUCAGUCAAAUGAGUGCAAUAAUUCCCGCCCUAUCAUCUGACAAAUUAUUGAGAAAUUCUAAUUACAUGCCUAUAAUUUUCAGGUCUUUGUUUUUCAGGUCUUUGUUAAGCAUCAUGCACAUAAACGUUUGUAUUACACUUUCUUUAGCAGUAUUUGAACAUGGUACCUUAUUCAAUGUUCUGAAACAAAUCAUGAAUACUUCCUGGUGUGGUGAUAAUAUCUUCAUAAACUUGUGACACCCGAUGGAAUGUGAGUCGGUUUUGUAAUAGCCUUUAAAAACUUCCCUCAAUACAUAAUAAAGAAUGGUAAAAAAUUUUGGUUGAGGAAACUAAUGAUACAUCCAAAAUAACACAUUCAGUUUUCCAGUGAAGAAUAUUCUCAAAGUAAAAUGCUGUUUAGACUUACUUAAAGGUUCUUAAAACAAGUUAUACAAAGGGAUAGUAUUGAAAUCCAUCUUUUAAUAGAUAUAUACUAGUAAUUAUGUUGAAGACCCAGGAAAAUACUAUUAAUAGGUGUGAAAUUUAAAUCACACUAAUUAGUACUUUAAAAUAUUAUUCCUUCACGUUAUUUUAAAGAAGCUUUUCCUACAUGUGUGACCUAUUCUGUCAAACACAGCCAUGAAUAUCUAGUAUACUAAAUUGGUCCUAUUCUGACUCCAAUUUUCAAACACUUUUAACAUAGGACUAUAGAGUUCAUAUUUACAAAGUGUGUGCAUGCCUAUGUGUAUCACUAAUAUGUAGUAUAUGCAUACUAAAUAUGCACAUGGGUAUUUCAAACUCUGUUGGCUUGACUCUAAAUGUUCAGCUAUCGAUGUUAUUCUUGGUAUUUAGAGGUUUUAUUUAUAUAUUUAUCUUUCUUGACUUUCCCACUGGGAGGUGUCUUCUGAUAUUUCAGCCUCUAGCAUCUCAGUCCCAUACAUUCAGCCCUCACUGGGAAGUUUAAUUCCAGGUUACUAAUUUCAGAGCAUCCCAAAGAUGCUGUUUAGCUAGGUAGUGCCUUAAUAUAUCUUAGAAUUAAAAGAAAAUACUUUCUGUCUCUCAGGGCAUUUGAAAGCUCAAACUCUCCUCUUUGAACUUCCCUCUCUCAUUAUAUUGCCAUCACAAAUCUUUGUCCAUCACUAGGUGGUACAACUCCCCCUCCCCUCACCUGCCUCACACACAUAUGACCUACAGUGGAAAACUGAGCUCCAGAUGGUUCAUGGACUUGCCCAAAGUCACCUGUACCAUUGCUGACUUGGAACUUGAAUGUCCAAGCCUUCUAAAUCCUCAUCUGCAUUUUUCACAUUAGAGAAUUUUGAUCUCUGACUUCCAACAGUUAUUUCAGGAGAGGAAAAUGCAUGGCUUCACUAUCCAAUGGACUAAAAAAUUGAGUAAGGGAUAGAACAUAUUUUACACUCCAACUUGAAAACUUGUCGUAAUGAUGCUCUUCCAGCAUGAAGAAAUUAAAAUUGGCCUUCCUCUUCGUUCUCCUGAAUUGUUCACUGUAACUGAGUGGAGAUAUUUUAGGAGGGUUCUUACUGUGGCUUCUGAAGACCUUUUUCAGAAUAAGGUCUUUUUUUCAAAAACACCACACAAAAUACAAUACAAAAAUACAAUACAAAAAUUUUCAAAAAUACAGUAUUAGUUUGAAGCUUGGUAAGUUUUGACUAUUGCCUAUACCUAUGUAACUGCUACCUAAAACAAGAUAUAGAAAUAUUCUAACUUCCCAGAGAGAUUCUUCAUGCCCCUUUCAUUCAGUGUCAUCCCAGACCCCACAAAGGCAAUUCCUUCUGAUGGUAUGUAUGUAUUCUUUAGUGUCUGAUAUUUUUUAGAUUUAUUUAUAUUGUCAUAUGUAUCAGUAGGCCAUUCAUUUUUGUUGUUGAUGAAUAUUUCAUUGUGUGAAUAUGCUGCAAUUUGUUGAUUCAAAUACCUCCUGAUAGUUGUUUUCCGUUUGGGGCUGUUAAGAAUAAGGCUUCCAUAAACUUUCUUGCCUAAGUCUUGCAUGCAUUGAUGUUUUUAUUUCUCUUGCGUACAUAGCUGGGAUUCAAAUUGUUGGCUUAUAGGUUGUAUCUAUGCUUAGUUUAUUUUUAAAAUUGCCAGAGUUUUUGAAGCCUGCCUCUACAAGCAGUGUGUGAGAAGUUUAGCUACUUCAUUACCUCCAAACCAUUUGGUAUUAUCAGUCUUUUUAUUUAUCUCAAUUGGAAAAUAUUAAAUGGCUUUAUAUUAUGGCUUAAAGUUGCAUUUACCUGGUAACUGAGUGCCUUAUCUUGAGCUUCUUGUCUAUUCAUGCAUUUUUUUGGUGAUUAUGUGUUUAAGUCUUUUGCCCAUUUAAAAUUGGAUUUUUUUUGUUAUGGCUUUAUAGGAAUACAUCAUGUAUUCUGCAUAUAAUUUAUUUAUCCAAUAUUAUAUAUUGAAAAACUUUUCUUCUUGUCUGUAAUUUGCCAGUUUAUUUUGUUAAUGGUGCUUUUUAAUGAGUGUAUCUUUUUAAUUUUGAUGAAGUCUUAUCCUAUUUGUCUUUUAUGAUUAGUGAUUUUUAUUUGUCUAUUUUUGUCUGACCCAAGAUUAAAAAGGUACUUCCUAUAUUUUCUUCUAGAAGUUUCAUGGUUCCAGCUUUCCCAUUUCAGACUCUGUAACAUCUCAAGUUAACUUUUGUGCCUGGAAUGAGUUACAGGUCAAUAAUUACAUUGUUUAUUUGAGAAUCUAACACCAUUGUUUGAAAAUAAUAUCCUUACCUCAUUCAUUUGACUUGGCACCUGAAUAAGUCAUCUUUAAUACUGAGAAAUGGUAUUGCUGGUCUUUCAUGCAUUUUCUGAGACAUGUAGAUGACUUCAUGGAUACUUAAAAUAUUAUGGGUCUAUCACUGUGCCUUUGCACAUAAACUUUUUUCUGCCCAAGAUGCCAUUCUUCUUAUUAUUUUGUGUUUACUACCCAAAACACAGCUUAGUAGUCUCAGACACCUUCGUUAAUUUUUCCCAUAUGGUGCAACUAAAUGCCUCUGUUGGGCACAGUGAAUUGCUCUAUCAAAAUAUUUGUCUUAUGACUUGCUAAUUUUCUCUUUACUUGACUUUCUCCCCAAGCAGACAGUGAUUUACUUGAAAACAGGUCUGCUUUUUUAUCUCUGUAUCUUUAUUACUCAGCACUGUGACAGGAAAAAAAAGAUAGCCACUCAAUUUAUGAUUUUAAUCAAAUUUGAUGGUCCUGAUAUUCCACAGGAGCAAUGUAAGAUAGUAAAAGAAAUCCAUAUACUUUGGAAGGAUAUAAUUUUGAUUUCAAAUAUUGGUUCUGCUACUCACUAGCUGUUUGAAUUGAGGCAAGUUAUUUAAUUUCAAAAUCUUAGUGUAUUAAUCUAUAAUAUGAAGCUGUGUAGAACUUCAUUUGGAAUAUUUACAAUAAAUAAAAGAAAUAGUGUCCAGUACAUACAGUGUAUAGUAGCUGCUAAAUAAAUGGAGUGAGUGUAUUAUUAUUUUAGCAUUAAAAGGGCAAAUGAAAGGCUUGUGUUGAGCUCACUAAUUACCUGCUAUGGUAUCCAGGGACUCUUAAUGACUAAGUAUAAAAUGCCAUGUUAUCUUCUUUUCAUAAACACACAGAGUAACAAUUUGGGUGCAGUAUUCAAGGUAUUGCUUCACAUAGAAUCUGUUCUUUAUCUGUCAAAUCACAACAAAAGCACUGAACCCUAGCAGACAUCAAUUCUUGGAAUCAUAAUAUUACAUCACUGUGGAAAUUAGCCAAGUAAGAAUGUACUCCAAAUUUCAAAGUUGUAACUCUAUAGAUGUCUUGGAGACAUGAUAUAUGAAAGAAUAAAACAUGUCAUAGGAACCCCGGAGAUAUGGUUACAGCUCUAAUUCACAUUAACUUCCAAAGAAGGCACUUUAGCUAUUAGGCAGUUCCACUAAAAGUCAUAUUCCUAGGACUACUCCAGAGAAUUUAUCCUGCUUACCACGCUUUCCUUGGGUUAUACAUUUUGGUCCCAUCCAUCCCACUUAUAGGCACUUGAGAAGCUUAGAGAAUUACAGUAUUUUCUCUUGGAAAUGCUUUUAAGUAGCAUUUUAAAUACAUGAUUUUCCAACAUCCCUCCCACUUAUGGCACCCAUAUAGUACCCAGUGUACAUAUCAUUUCCCUGCUGAUUGGCUUUCAUGUGUUCCAAAUGCUUUUCUAAAUUGACCUGAUACCUAUUAAACCUGAAGUGGACUUUUAAGAUCUGAAGAACAUUUAAUCAAUGGGACAUUAAAGUAAAUAAAUCAUAGCUGAGAGGAGUUCCUUCAAAUGAUAUAAUCUUUAAUGAGCAUUGCACUUGAUUUAAUAAUUUAUUAAAUAUAUAAAAAAUGAUUGGUAAAUUGAACACUUGUCUCAGAGCAAGC